UGAGUACUUGACUGACUCCUAGCAGCACUGUAGCCUGUAAAAGGGUAAAGUCCAAAAAAGUUCUAACUUAGGUUUUGGGCUGUCUUAGUGAUGUUCCAGACAGAAAUCCAAUGACCUAGAGUUGGGGUGUUUGAAAGGUUCCUUUGGUCUCUAUCCUGCUGCACUGUGGGUGCUGUGCUCUGCCUCCAAGGAGAGCAGUCAGGGAACCCCAGGCUUCUUGGCACCUAUUAAGCUCAACUUUCUUCUGUAAUUUUAUCAGAAUGACAAGAGACUUCAGUUCUAACCUUAAAAAACCAGUUAUCAUUGAUAACUUUUACUAUUUUAGGGGAUCUACCUAAGCCCUAUCUAUCUUAAAAGACAAGAGCAUUUUUAACAGCUACUUGUAGAUUCUUGGUCUGUAGGUUAUAACUUUUUCAUUGCUUGUUUGCCUUUAUUCUGUGUUCUUUUUGGUCAUUCCAUUAAAAAGUGCAUCCUGUGUUGAACAAUCAAUCCUUCCAGCAAAUUAUAAGCCAUUUGGAAAACAUCUAAAUUAGUGCCAUUUUUGACGAGGAGGUGACAAUGGCUCUGUCUUCCAAGAGACAUAAAAAGGUUAUCAGGUAUUAUUACUUGCCCACUGAGAAUUUGGCAUGAAUUCAAGUCCUUUGCUGGAUGUGAAAUUUCCUGAAGAAAUACAGAGAUGUUGUGGGAUUGGUUGGUUGUGGGCUUUUUUGAGCAACAUGAAUUUUCUACUGGAAAAAUGAGAUAUGAGUCAGCAUCGAAAUUUCUGCAAGAAACAGCAGGCAUCUGGGUUUUUGUGUUUUUUUUUUUUUUUUUUUUUUUUUUUUUUUUUUUUGUUUUUUUUUUUUGUUUUUUUUUUUUUUUAGUCUCAUUCAUAUUUUCAUUUCACCCAUCAGGGGAAGGAAUCUAAUGAUGCUUGUUUCUAGAUCUGAACAUCAUCUGAGGACAUUUGGAUCUCUGUCUUUGAUGUGGACCCAUCAAGCCUUCUAAAUUUGGCAGUGAAAAUUAGCCACCCUUGCAGAAAGUCUGUUACAAUAGUCUCAUCAGCCAGGAAAUGCACAAUCUUAUAACUGGAGGAGCUGAUUCAAAGCCCAAGGAAGCUGUUGAGUGAAAUAGCGAUAUGGUUCAUCACUUCCCCAGAGCUUAAAAGCCAUGUAUAUACCAUGAAGAACAAGAUGAGAAUUCUUCUCUUCCAG